UAGUCCACGCCGUAAACGAUGUCUACUCGGAGUUUGGUGUCUUGAACACUGGGCUCUCAAGCUAACGCAUUAAGUAGACCGCCUGGGGAGUACGGCCGCAAGGUUAAAACUCAAAUGAAUUGACGGGGGCCCGCACAAGCGGUGGAGCAUGUGGUUUAAUUCGAUGCAACGCGAAGAACCUUACCUACUCUUGACAUCCAGAGAAUUCGCUAGAGAUAGCUUAGUGCCUUCGGGAACUCUGAGACAGGUGCUGCAUGGCUGUCGUCAGCUCGUGUUGUGAAAUGUUGGGUUAAGUCCCGCAACGAGCGCAACCCUUAUCCUUAUUUGCCAGCACGUAAUGGUGGGAACUUUAGGGAGACUGCCGGUGAUAAACCGGAGGAAGGUAAGGAUGACGUCAAGUCAGCAUGCCCCUUAUGCUCUGGGCUACACACGUGCUACAAUGGCCGUGACAAAGAGUUGCUACUUUGUGAAAACAAGCUAAUCUCAUAAACGCGGCCUCAGUUCGGA
rnacentral:rRNA from 1 species